rnacentral:rRNA from 1 species
UACGUAGGCAGCGAGCGUUGUUCGGAGUUACUGGGCGUAAAGCGCACGUAGGCGGCUUGCCAAGUCGGACGUGAAAUCCCUCAGCUCAACUGAGGACGUGCAUCCGAAACUGGCGAGCUUGAGUACUGAAGAGGAUCGCGGAAUUCCCGGUGUAGAGGUGAAAUUCGUAGAUAUCGGGAGGAACACCAGUGGCGAAGGCGGCGAUCUGGGCAGAUACUGACGCUGAGGUGCGAAAGCGUGGGGAGCAAACAGG